rnacentral:lncRNA from 1 species
GUAUGUAUCUCGAACCUUUCGUUUGAACAUCUGUUGAAAUAUUGAUUAAUUUUACUCUUUUCUGGAAAUUUAAAACUAGAUUACUUCAUUAAUUCAGUUUUUCUUUUGAGUAUUUGUGUAAUGCUUGCUGGGUUUUACUCUGCCGUUUGGUGGAAACAUUCAUAUAGUCAACCCCCACAUUGUUUCAAAAAUGGAUUUGUCAUCCUUUGAACACUCACAAGACCCAUCAAGAAUCCUUACUUUGGUCGGAAAACCAUUAGAUUUGGAGACAGAAAUGCUGGGGAAGCUAUUAAUGAAGGCUCAUAAUCUUAUAGUUGUCGAUUGCAUAACUACUACUGGAAAGUAUCAUUUUGCGUACUACCCUAUCAGCAUCUGAAAGAUUUCUUCCCAAUGAAAUGGGGGAAGCACUCCUGUUAAUUUUCCCAGUGUUUUUUUUGUUGAUAAUUUGAGUUAGUUGGCUUGCUCGAUUCGUGAUAAUCCAUAUGAAUUCAGUUUUUCUUUUGAGUAUUUGUGGAAUGCUUGCUGGUCUUUACUCUGCCGUUUGGUGGCAACAUUCAUAUAGUCAACCCCCAUAUUGUUUUAAAAAUGGAUUUUCAUCCUUUGAACACUCACAAGACCCAUCAAGAAUCCUUACUUUGGUCGGAAAACCAUUAGAUUUGGAGACAGAAAUGCUGGGGAAGCCAUUAAUGAAACUACCCUAUCAGCAUCUGAAAGAUUUCUUCCCAAUUAAAUGGGGAAGCACUCCUGUUAAUUUUCCCAGUGUUUUUUUUGUUGAUAAUUUGAGUUAGUUGGCUUGCUCGAUUCGUGAUAAUCCAUAUGAAUUCAGUUUUUCUUUUGAGUAUUUGUGGAAUGCUUGCUGGUCUUUACUCUGCCGUUUGGUGGCAACGUUCAUAUAGUCAACCCCCAUAUUGUUUCAAAAAUGGAUUUUUCAUCCUUUGAACACUCACAAGACCCAUCAAGAAUCAUUACUUUGGUCGGAAAACCAUUAGAUUUGGAGACAGAAAUGCUGGGGAAGCCAUUAAUGAAGGCUCAUAUUCUUAUCUAUGAUGCUCGGACUCGGGUGCGGGUGUCGGAUAGGGGUACAUAUCUAGGAGUCGGAUUCUUUUCAUUUUAAAAAUUAAGAUAUGGGGAUACGGUUUAAAAGGAUCCGAAUUUUGGAUACUGGUUCGGGAAUACGUCUUAUAAUUUUUUUCCUAAAAAAUAAUUCAAUUAAAGCAAAUAACAAAUCAUGCCAUUUACAUUAAGUAAUAAAACCUUUAGGGAUAACCCCUAAUUUAUGGCAGUAUGAAUUGUUGACUUUUAAACCACUUAAUUCUUUCAUUUUUUUCUUCUUUUUUCUUUUUUAUUGGAAAAAUACACUUAUUGAAGGGCGUCCAACUGGUUACAGAAAUUCCCUCAUAUCAUUAACUUCUUUAUUGGGCUCCACAGAAGCCCGUUUAAUACACACCCAAACCUAUCAUCUUCUCCAACCGGUCGUCUUCUCCAACUUUCAUCUUUCCCCUUUUGCAAAAUUCUGCAAAUGUUGCUACAAUCCUCCAUAAAUUUCUACAUAUUUCUAUCACAAGAUUCGAAACAAAUGGUUGUUGCCGCUACAAACGCAAGCCAGAAGCAAUACUUCACCGUCCAUUGUUUUUGCCCUUUUCCAGCCAUGUCCGAGUUCAAAACUGAGAAUCCGACACAUAUCCCGUGUCGGUAAUACUUCGCCAUUUUUGGAGAGUCCGAGCAUCAUUGAUUCAUAUAGUUGUCGAAUGCAUAACUACAACUGGAAAGUAUCAUUUUGGGUACUAACCUAUCAGCAUCUGAAAGAUUUCUUCCCAAUUAAAUGGGGAAGCACUCCUGUUAAUUUUCCCAGUGUUUUUUUUGUUGAUAAUUUGAGUUAGUUGGCUUGCUCGAUUCGUGAUAAUCCAUAUGAAUUCAGUUUUUAUUUUGAGUAUUUGUGGAAUGCUUGCUGGUCUUUACUCUGCCGUUUGGUGGCAACAUUCAUAUAGUCAACCCCCAUAUUGUUUCAAAAAUGGAUUUUUCAUCCUUUGAACACUCACAAGACCCAUCAAGAAUCCUUACUUUGGUCGGAAAACCAUUAGAUUUGGAGACAGAAAUGCUGGGGAAGCCAUUAAUGAAACUACAUAUUCUUAUAGUUGUCGAAUGCAUAACUACAACUGGAAAGUAUGAUUUUGGGUACUACCCUAUCAGCAUCUGAAAGAUUUCUUCCCAAUUAAAUGGGGAAGCACUCGUGUUAAUUUUCCCAGUAAUUUUUUUUGUUGAUAACUUGAGUUAGUUGGCUUGCUUGUAAAUGGUAACCCUGGUUUAGUCCGUGUUCCUAGAUGACAUUCAACUUUUGCCAGAUGAAUACUAUGGAAUAUUAUUUUAAUUUUAAUCUGUUUCAUAGCUACCCCAUAAGAUUGUUCUUUGUUUUGUUGAAAGUAUUUUAUAUCUCAUAGUUAAAAGAUAUUGUUUACCAUGUUACAUGGAUGCUGUGCUUGUGAUUACGCUACUUGCUGAAUGAUGUGCUUGAUUGCAAGCAAUCGAACAAUAUCAAGAAAUUUCUGCUAUGAUUUUAACCUACGUUUAUAUUAUUCGUGACCGUUUUUGAUAAUUUGUUGCACAUAUCUAGAUG